rnacentral:tRNA from 1 species
CGGAUAAUAGUUUAAUCUAAAACAUUGGCUUUUCAUGCCAGAAAUUAGGACACUCCUAUUAUCUGU